rnacentral:lncRNA from 1 species
GAACAUCUUGCAAGCCGCGGUGGGAACCGUCAUGGCAGCAACCACCGCCGCAACAGCUGCCGCCGCUGCCGCCACUGCUGCCGCCGUCACUACGACUACUGCUACCGCCAUCGGUGCGACAGUGGCCCCCAUUGCGACAACCUCCACCGGCGCGACAACCUCCACCGCCGCGAAAGCCUCUACUGCGGCGACAGCCGCCACGACAACCUCCACUGCAACGACAACCUCGACCGCAGCGACAGCCUCGACCGUCGCGACAGCCGCCACCGCUGCCUCGACAGCCUCUACUGCAGCGACAACCUCAACCGCAGCAACAGCCUCGACCGCUGCGACAACUGAACUGCCGGCUCGACAGCCUCCACUGCAGCGACAACCUCAACC